GAGUAAGAAGAAAAGAAAGAAAAAGAGGAAAAAAAAGAGAGAUAUGGUGGUUCUAAACUUCAUUUGCAUGGAGAAUCAAUCAAAUUUUGGGUAGAAAAUGAGAGUUGAUAGUGAAAAAUCGUAAGUUUUAGAGAGAGAAAUAAAUAGUUUUUGUUAGAGAGAGUAGAUUUUAAGUAAAAAUUCUAUUUUAAUAUUUUUCUUAGAUUUUAUAGAUGUUCUUGAACAUCUUUAAUUCUUAGAUCAUUCUCAAAUAAGCUCGCAUUUCUCAACAACGAUUCCUUGCCAUGGAGCUGCAAUUUCCCUGUUUUUCACUUGUUUCAGCUUUCAUCAUCUUCCUCUCCAUCAGGAUAUGGAAGAAAUCUAAAACCAGCAACUCCUGUUCAAAUUUGCCUCCAGGUCCAUGGAAGUUGCCCCUCCUUGGAAACAUUCACCACCUACUUGGCUCCCUACCCCAUCGCCGUCUCAGAGGUUUAGCAAACAUUUACGGACCUGUCAUGCGCCUUCAACUCGGUGAAGUCAUCUCUUCACCAGAAAUGGCGACGAAAGUCUUCAAAACCCAUGAGAUUAAUUUUGUUGACAGACCUCGCCCCCAGGUUGCAAGUAUCCUGUUCUAUGAUCGUCAAGACAUUGCAUUUGCACCAUAUGGAUAUUAUUGGAGACAGAUGCGAAAAAUUUGCAUGUCGGAAUACUUCAGUUCCAGACGGGUGCAAUCCUUCAAAUCAAUCAGGGAAGAAGAGGUAUCGAAAUUUAUCACAUCCAUUUCUGCUAAAGCUAGAUUCCCAAUCAAUCUUAGUAAGAUGAUCAUUUCUUUAACUAAUGCCAUCAUUGCAAGAACAACCAUUGGUAUCAAAUACGAAAACCGACGAGAAUUAUUCAACCCCAUCGUGGAAGCAUGGACCGAGGCAGUAGGGGGUUUCGGUGUAGUGGACGUGUUCCCUUCCUUUAAAUUGCUUCACAUGAUCAGCGGGACUAGUUCUAGGCUCAAGAGGGCGCAGCAAGAAGCAGAUAAGAUGCUUGAAAACAUCAUAAAUGAGGGUAAAUGCAGGAGGGAGGCAGGUGAUAAGGGUGAAAUCGGUACUCUUCUUGAUGUUCUUUUGGAUCUUCAAGACCUCGGAAACCUCAACUUCCCCUUAACAAAUGAAAACAUCAAAGCAAUUAUCCUGGAUAUGAUCACUGCUGGAAGUGACACAUCGUCGGCGAUUGUAGAAUGGGCUAUGUCGGAAAUGCUGAAAAAUCCAAGAAUAAUGAAAAAGGCACAGGAAGAAGUGAGACGAGUCUUUAGUCAAAAUGGAAGUGUUGAUGAAACAUGUUUUCAAGAAUUAAAAUUCUUGAAGUCGAUUAUUAAAGAAACUCUUCGAAUACAUCCUCCAACGCCCUUGAUUCCAAGAGAAUGCAGGGAGAGAUGUGAGAUUAAUGGAUAUGACAUACAUGCCAAAACUGAAAUUCUCAUCAACAUAUGGGCGAUUGGAAGAGAUCCCAAUUAUUGAACUGAUGCUGAAGAGUUCCAUCCAGAGAGAUUUCUUGAUAGCUCAAUUGAUUACAAGGGAGUUGAUUUCGAAUUUAUCCCCUUUGGUGCUGGAAGAAGGAUGUGUCCAGGCGUGUUGUUAGGCAUUGCUAAUGUAGAGCUUCCGCUUGCACAAUUGUUAUACCAUUUUGACUGGAAGUUAUCAAAUGGAGUAAAACCAGAAGAUCUUGACAUGACGGAAGCAUUCGGUGCAAUAACCAGAAGAGAAACAAAUCUUAAUUUAGUUCCCAUCCCAUCCCAUUCUCUUCAUGUGGAAUAAAAUUAAUUAUCAGAUAUUGUAUUCCAUUUGAUGGAAAAUAUGGACAAAUUACUCAUCAUUAUCUGGUAGGUACAAAUAAUUAAUAUCAUAAUAAAGAUAACAAAUAAAUUGUGCUUUCUUGUGCAAAUGCAGCAGCACUAUUGAUUUGUUAUUUUGCCUGUAAU
rnacentral:misc_RNA from 1 species